rnacentral:rRNA from 1 species
UACGGGGGGGGCAAGCGUUGUUCGGAAUUACUGGGCGUAAAGGGCUUGUAGGUGGCCAACUAAGUCAGACGUGAAAUCCCUCGGCUUAACCGGGGAACUGCGUCCGAUACUGGAGGCUUGAGUGUGGGAGAGGGAUGCGGAAUUCCAGGUGUAGCGGUGAAAUGCGUAGAUAUCUGGAGGAACACCGGUGGCGAAGGCGGCAUCCUGGACCAUGACUGACGCUGAGGAGCGAAAGCCAGGGGAGCAAAGCGGG